CAAGUGAUUUAUUUAAGGUCACGCAGUGAAUUGUUUGCAAGAGAGGGAUGAUUGUCUCUGCUGGCCAUCUGAUUAAAGCUCAGCCUAAAUAUGUUUGGAAAUUUGCAGGUGGUUCAGAAGAACAACUGGGAGUGCUGACUCUUCCUGAAAUAUCUGUUUUGAUUGAUUACAGAAGGGGAGAGGUCUUUUUUUAUUCACCUGGUAGGCAUCUCCUGCCCUCAAAAUUCAGAAUUAAACUCCUUUUUUCAGCUGUAAGGUUUCCUGCCUUCUUCCUUCAAUACAAAUGCAAGCUUAAAUUCUUUUAAGUGUGAAAAGGGCACCUCGGUGACCUCUGCCUAACAUCACUGACACUGUUUGGCAUUCUCACCUGAAGCCUGGAUUUAUUUUCUUAAAGAUUCCCACUAGUGAUGCGUUUUCAGAAGCUUUAUCACACAGCCAAGAAGUGACCCCGUGGUUAUUCAGACAGUGUAGGGAUGUGCUUGGUGCAGCAAGGGGGACACAAGGACGUCUGGGCCAACAGUGACAACCCUGUAGUUUCCUGUGUUGUUCAGUCCUCUUGGGACUACAUGCUGUGCUCUGCUGUUAAGUUUGCAGACUGCUUCAUAGUGAGGGGGAAAGCUGGUGUAAGACGUGGCCAUGGAGCAUCACGGAGCUGGACCAAGCAGUCUGUGGCAAGGCUCCCCACCUCUGCAGUGCUGCUCCUGCUGCUCCCAGGGCUCCCCGGAGAGCCUGGCUCACAGCAGCCACCCUGACUCUAGGAGGCAAUGCUUGUGGGCACCGAGAGCCUCUCCCAGAGGCACUUCCCUGGGCUAGGCAAAGGCUGCUCUGAACCCUUGGCCCUCUUCCCCUGCUUCCUUCGGGUACCACACUAUUACUCCUCUUUUCUCCUGGUUUAGCUGCUUUUUUCUCUCUAAAGACUAUGCAAAUGCACAAUUCCCUGUUGUUUACAAUCUCUCUUAAUCCUGCUGUGAGGGAGAGCUUCUUCCAAUGCUUUUCUUCCUUGUAAUGCAACUAGAGCCACCAUUAACCUUACCUGAAAGCUGAUGGCUGGUCACUGGAGCUUCUCCUGACCUCCAGCCCUCUCCUGUCCUAUACUCUGUCAGGUACCAUUCUUUAACAUGCACCUUCAGUGGAGAAACAGAAAACAGAUUUCUACUCAAAAUGGGUGGCAAAGGACUUGUAUGAUCUGUGGCAAAUACGUGUGUUUGCCACUAUAUUGUUUUAUUAGCAUAGCCUUUUCUUGAGUCCUAAAUGCUCACCUAUUUGCCCAUAUUGGGUGACUGUUCUACUUUCUCUCUAUUAAUUUCCAAGGCAAAUUUGAGCUAUCUACUAAGUGCUGCAAUAACUGUGUGUGGACUAGUACUUUCUGUACUUUCUGACUUUAGUUAAAGUGUAGGAUGGAUUUGUAUCUUUCAACAUUUCCUUUGACCCACUUUUCUGAAUU